rnacentral:rRNA from 1 species
AACUGGGAUUAGAUACCCCACUAUGCCUAGCCGUAAACUUUUAUUUACACCCAAUCGCCAGGGAACUACGAGCUAAGCUUAAAACCCAAAGGACUUGACGGUACCCCAUAUCCCCCUAGAGGAGCCUGUCCUGUAAUCGAUAAUCCACGUUAAACCUCACCAUUUUUAGUUAAUCAGCCUGUAUACCUCCGUCGUCAGCUUACCACGUGAGCGCCAAUUAGUGAGCUUAAUGUUUUUCACCAAUACGUCAGGUCAAGGUGCAGCAAAUAAAGUGGGAAGAGAUGGGCUACACUCUCUAUUUUAGAAAAAACGAAAAACUACCUAUGAAACCUAGUUAGAAGGCGGAUUUAGCAGUAAAAAGGAAUCAGCAUGUCCAUUUUAAUCCGGCACUGGGGUGUGUACACACCGCCCGUCACC